rnacentral:rRNA from 1 species
AGUGAACGCUGGCGGUAGGCCUAACACAUGCAAGUCGAACGGCAGCACAGUAAGAGCUUGCUCUUACGGGUGGCGAGUGGCGGACGGGUGAGGAAUACAUCGGAAUCUACUUUUUCGUGGGGGAUAACGUAGGGAAACUUACGCUAAUACCGCAUACGACCUACGGGUGAAAGCAGGGGAUCUUCGGACCUUGCGUGAUUGAAUGAGCCGAUGUCGGAUUAGCUAGUUGGCGGGGUAAAGGCCCACCAAGGCGACGAUCCGUAGCUGGUCUGAGAGGAUGAUCAGCCACACUGGAACUGAGACACGGUCCAGACUCCUACGGGAGGCAGCAGUGGGGAAUAUUGCACAAUGGGCGCAAGCCUGAUCCAGCCAUACCGCGUGGGUGAAGAAGGCCUUCGGGUUGUAAAGCCCUUUUGUUGGGAAAGAAAAGCAGCAGGUUAAUACCCCGCUGUUCUGACGGUACCCAAAGAAUAAGCACCGGCUAACUUCGUG